rnacentral:rRNA from 1 species
GACGAACGCUGGCGGCGUGCUUAACACAUGCAAGUCGAACGAAGUGGCGCACGGGUGAGUAAUACGUGGGUAACCUGCCCUCCUUUUUGGGAUAAGCCUUGGAAACGGGGUCUAAUACCGAAUAAAGGGGGUUGGGCUCGCGGCCUAUCAGCUUGUGGGUGGGGUGAUGGCCUACCAAGGCGGUGACGGGUAGCCGGCCUGAGAGGGUGACCGGGAACUUUGGGACUGAGAUACGGCCCAGACUACGACGGGGGGCAGCAUUGGGGAAUAUUGCACAAUGGGUGAAAGCCUGAUGCAGCGUCUACGCGUGGGGGAUGAAGGCUGUAGGGUUGUAAACCUCUUUCGCAAUGGAACGGGUAGGUGGAGAAGAAGCGCCGGCUAACUACGUGCCAGCAGCCGCGGUAAUAC